GGGCAGUGAUGACUAAAAUUAAAUACCAUCAAACUAUGAGAGUUUCCAGAUGAAGCUCGUUGAUGCUACUUUUAAUCAUUACAUUCUGAGCCU